GACGAACGCUGGCGGCGUGCUUAACACAUGCAAGUCGAGCGGUAAGGCCCUUUCGGGGGUACGACGAGCGGCGAACGGGUAGGAGUAACACGUGGGUGGACCUCGCCCUUACGCUCUGGGGAGUAAGCCUGGGAAACGUGGGUCUAAUACCGGAUAUGACUCCAUAACGCAUGUUGUGGGGUGGAAAGCCUUGUGCGGCUAGGGAUGGCCCGCGGCCUAUCAGCUUGUUGGUGGGGUGAUGGCCACCAAGGCGACGAC
rnacentral:rRNA from 1 species